GCGACUCCGGCGCCGAGUGGUCGGCCAAGCAGCACAAGGGCGAGCUCGAGGCCUCCGCCGCCACCCCCUACGACCUGCAGCGCCAGCUCGUCUCCGCCGCCUGCGCCGAGGACAAGUCCGGCGGCGUCCAGUCCUCCUUCACCAUGGUCUCCCCCAACUCCGCCAUCUUCCAGGUCCGGACCCCAUCCCUCGCUCACUAAAUUCCUGUGCUGUGUACUGCUGAUCUGACUAUAUGUACUUAAUUGGUUCCGAUCCGUGAGUUCUGAUGAUUCGUUAAUAACGAGCACCGCUCUUGUUGCAGAUUUUCUGCGGUAUGCAUUUAGUAUCGUAUUAGUGAUUUAUGUAGAUCCAACGGUCUGUUCUAUUUAAGAUUGUUGGCCUUUCUGGAUGAUUAACUUUUUAAAUUUAUAAUAGUUAUUACAGAACGCUGUAUAUUAAAGCUCUUGGAGUUUAGAUUUUGAUCAGUUAAUCGACUCAAAAAUUAUUGAGAUGUUUGCGUUGUGCUCUGCUCAAUGUGUAGAGCGCGUAGAGCAGAUUUUAGUAACAGUUUUUGGUCCUAGUUAUCACUAGGAAUCAUAAAAGGUUGUUUGCAUGUUAUGCUAAUGCAAAUGUGAUAUGACACUCUUUGUUUUGUGUAGUUAUAUCAUUUGCUUCUCUGUAUUCCGUUUCUAUUGUUCACCAUUGCUCGAGAUUGCAAGCUUGUUUAUUCACUAGUCUGAUGACAGAAAUUACUAGCACAUCAAGGUAGACCUUUUGUCAGUUAUCUUCCAUUUGAUGCUGAACUAAGGGACCAUUACACAAUUGGAAGUCUGUCUUAAGUCAUAAUUAUGCAUGUUGUGCCAACCAGCCAAGUUUCUAAACGACUGUGAUAGCUAGUCUUGCUUCAACUUGUUUUCUUGAUUGUCGCAAAAAUAUAUUUCUAUUGAUAGAUAGAAUUGAAAUGCUCAUAUCUGAAACUUGAUGCAGGUGGUCAUUGGUGGUGCCUCUGCUGGUCCGAUCGGUGGUGGUGCCGCUGCUGGUGCCGCUGCAUCAGGUGGAGCUGCUGCUGAGGCCCCCAAGGCUGAGGAGAAGAAGGAAGAGGAGAAGGAGGAGAGCGAGGACGACCUUGGCUUCUCCCUCUUUGAUUAGAUCUUCUUCUUCACCCUAUUGCACGCCAGAAAUGACAUGGUCCUAUUGCCGCAGUAAUUUUGAUGCCAUGCCUAGUUUGAUUGUCAAGGG
rnacentral:lncRNA from 1 species